rnacentral:rRNA from 1 species
CGUGUAGGCGGGUAGUUAAGUCAGAAGUGAAAUCCAAUAGCUCAACUAUUGAACUGCUUUUGAAACUGAUUACCUAGAAUAUGGGAGAGGUAGAUGGAAUUUCUGGUGUAGGGGUAAAAUCCGUAGAGAUCAGGAGGAAUACCGAUUGCGAAGGCGAUCUACUGGGAACAUUAUUGACGCUGAGACGCGAAAGCGUGGGGAGCAAACAGGAUUAGAUACCCUGGUAGUCCACGCCCUAAACGAUGUACACUAGUUGUUGUGAGGCUCGACCUUGCAGUAAUGCAGUUAACACAUUAAGUGUACCGCCUGGGGAGUACGGUCGCAAGAUUAAAACUCAAAGGAAUAGACGGGGACCCGCACAAGCGGUGGAGCAUGUGGUUUAAUUCGACGAUACACGAAGGACCUUACCUGGACUUGACAUAGUAAGAACUUUCUAGAGAUAGAUUGGUGUCUGCUUGCAGAAACUUAUAUACAGGUGCUGCACGGCUGUCGUCAGCUCGUGUCGUGAGAUGUUGGGUUAAGUCCCGCAACGAGCGCAACCCUCGUCAUUAGUUGCUAACAGUUCGGCUGAGAACUCUAAUGAGACUGCCUACGCAAGUAGGAGGAAGGUGAGGACGACGUCAAGUCAUCAUGGCCCUUACGUCCAGGGCUACACACGUGCUACAAUGGGGUAUACAAAGAGCCGCAAUACGGUGACGUGGAGCAAAUCUCAAAAAUAUCUCCCAGUUCGGAUUGUAGUCUGCAACUCGACUACAUGAAGUUGGAAUCGCUAGUA